rnacentral:rRNA from 1 species
GCUACGGGGGGCAGCAGUGAGGAAUAUUGGUCAAUGGCCGAGAGGCUGAACCAGCCAAGUCGCGUGAGGGAAGAAUGUCCUAUGGAUUGUAAACCUCUUUUGUCAGGGAGCAAAGUCACCCACGUGUGGGUGUUGGAGAGUACCUGAAGAAAAAGCAUCGGCUAACUCCGUGCCAGCAGCCGCGGUAAUACGGAGGAUGCGAGCGUUAUCCGGAUUUAUUGGGUUUAAAGGGUGCGUAGGCGGACGCUUAAGUCAGCGGUAAAAUUGCGGGGCUCAACCUCGUCGAGCCGUUGAAACUGGGUGCCUUGAGUGGGCGAGAAGUACGCGGAAUGCGUGGUGUAGCGGUGAAAUGCAUAGAUAUCACGCAGAACUCCGAUUGCGAAGGCAGCGUACCGGCGCCCAACUGACGCUGAAGCACGAAGGCGUGGGUAUCGAACAGGAUUAGAUACCCCAGUAGUC